rnacentral:rRNA from 1 species
CAGUAGCCGCGGUAAUACAGAGGAUGCAAGCGUUGUCCGGAAUGAUUGGGCGUAAAGCGUCUGUAGGUGGCUUUUCAAGUCCGCCGUCAAAUCCCAGGGCUCAACCCUGGACAGGCGGUGGAAACUACCAAGCUGGAGUACGGUAGGGGCAGAGGGAAUUUCCAGUGGAGCGGUGAAAUGCGUUGAGAUCGAAAAGAACACCAACAGCGAAAGCACUCUGCUGGGACGACACUGACACUAAGAGACGAAAGCUAGGGGAGCAAAUGGGAUUAGAGACCCCGGUAGUCCCUGUCUCUUAUAA